CCUACGGGGAGCAGCAGUAGGGAAUCUUCCACAAUGGGCGAAAGCCUGAUGGAGCAACGCCGCGUGGGUGAAGAAGGUCUUCGGAUCGUAAAACCCUGUUGUUAGAGAAGAAAGUGCGUGAGAGUAACUGUUCACGUUUCGACGGUAUCUAACCAGAAAGCCACGGCUAACUACGUGCCAGCAGCCGCGGUAAUACGUAGGUGGCAAGCGUUAUCCGGAUUUAUUGGGCGUAAAGGGAACGCAGGCGGUCUUUUAAGUCUGAUGGGAAAGCCUUCGGCUUAACCGGAGUAGUGCAUUGGAAACUGGGAGACUUGAGUGCAGAAGAGGAGAGUGGAACGCCAUGGGUAGCGGUGAAAUGAGUAGAUAUAUGGAAGAACACCAGUGGCGAAAGCGGCUCUCUGGUCUGUAACUGACGCUGAGGUUCGAAAGCGUGGGUAGCAAACAGGAUUAGAUACCCGGGUAGUC
rnacentral:rRNA from 1 species